rnacentral:rRNA from 1 species
GAUGAACGCUGGCGGCGUGCCUAAUACAUGCAAGUCGAGCGAACAGACGAGGAGCUUGCUCCUCUGACGUUAGCGGCGGACGGGUGAGUAACACGUGGAUAACCUACCUAUAAGACUGGGAUAACUUCGGGAAACCGGAGCUAAUACCGGAUAAUAUAUUGAACCGCAUGGUUCAAUAGUGAAAGACGGUUUUGCUGUCACUUAUAGAUGGAUCCGCGCCGCAUUAGCUAGUUGGUAAGGUAACGGCUUACCAAGGCAACGAUGCGUAGCCGACCUGAGAGGGUGAUUGGCCACACUGGAACUGAGACACGGUCCAGACUCCUACGGGAGGCAGCAGUAGGGAAUCUUCCGCAAUGGGCGAAAGCUUGUCGGAGCAACGCCGCGUGAGUGAUGAAGGUCUUCGGAUCGUAAAACUCUGUUAUUAGGGAAGAACAAAUGUGUAAGUAACUAUGCACGUCUUGACGGUACCUAAUCAGAAAGCCACGGCUAACUACGUG